GCUACAGGCUUAACACAUGCAAGUCGAGGGGAAACGACAUCGAAAGCUUGCUUUUGAUGGGCGUCGACCGGCGCACGGGUGAGUAACGCGUAUCCAACCUGCCCACCACUUGGGGAUAACCUUGCGAAAGUAAGACUAAUACCCAAUGAUAUCUCUAGAAGGCAUCUGAAAGAGAUUAAAGAUUUAUCGGUGAUGGAUGGGGAUGCGUCUGAUUAGCUUGUUGGCGGGGUAACGGCCCACCAAGGCAACGAUCAGUAGGGGUUCUGAGAGGAAGGUCCCCCACAUUGGAACUGAGACACGGUCCAAACUCCUACGGGAGGCAGCAGUGAGGAAUAUUGGUCAAUGGACGAGAGUCUGAACCAGCCAAGUAGCGUGCAGGAUGACGGCCCUAUGGGUUGUAAACUGCUUUUAUAAGGGAAUAAAGUGAGAGUCGUGACUCUUUUUGCAUGUACCUUAUGAAUAAGGACCGGUUAAUUCCGUGCCAGCAGCCGCGGUAAUACGGAAGGUCCGGGCGUUAUCCGGAUUUAUUGGGUUUAAAGGGAGCGUAGGCCGGAGAUUAAGCGUGUUGUGAAAUGUAGAUGCUCAACGUCUGCACUGCAGCGCGAACUGGUUUCCUUGAGUACGCACAAAGUGGGCGGAAUUCGUGGUGUAGCGGUGAAAUGCUUAGAUAUCACGAAGAACUCCGAUUGCGAAGGCAGCUCACUGGAGCGCAACUGACGCUGAAGCUCGAAAGUGCGGGUAUCGAACAGGAUUAGAUACCCUGGUAGUCCGCACGGUAAACGAUGGAUGCCCGCUGUUGGUCUGAAUAGGUCAGCGGCCAAGCGAAAGCAUUAAGCAUCCCACCUGGGGAGUACGCCGGCAACGGUGAAACUCAAAGGAAUUGACGGGGGCCCGCACAAGCGGAGGAACAUGUGGUUUAAUUCGAUGAUACGCGAGGAACCUUACCCGGGCUUGAAUUGCAGAGGAAGGAUUUGGAGACAAUGACGCCCUUCGGGGUCUCUGUGAAGGUGCUGCAUGGUUGUCGUCAGCUCGUGCCGUGAGGUGUCGGCUUAAGUGCCAUAACGAGCGCAACCCCUCUCCUUAGUUGCCAUCAGGUUAAGCUGGGCACUCUGGGGACACUGCCACCGUAAGGUGUGAGGAAGGUGGGGAUG
rnacentral:rRNA from 1 species